GACUAAGAUGCAGAAAAUAGCUUUUGACGCAUGCUGAUCGUCAGUUUCUAUUUGCAGUACCCAUGUCACAAUAUUUCAUUCCGCAGUUAAACUUGCACAGAUCAACAUCGCAUACGAUACUGUCUUCAAAUAUUUCCCCCAAAUCAACACAAACACGAGAACAAAAGACAGCCAUGUCAGACAACAAGACGAAGGAGGUAGCAGAACCUACUGAUGAGGUCGAGAAUCAGGCAGCAGCUGAAGCCACAGUUUCCAGUGAAGACGAACUUGAAAAGGAAGAACCUAAACAGGAAGAACAAGCUGUUGAAGAUGCACGAGAACUAGUCAUUGUUGAUCAGGAUGCCUUUGAUGUCGACUUGAACCACAGCCGUGUUGCUAAGAUAGAAAACUUGGAAAAUUUAACAAGAUGUGAGACCCUGUGUCUCCGUCAGAACCUGGUGAAGAAGAUCGAGGGUUUGAGCACCCUGGUGACACUGCGGGAGCUGGACUUGUACGACAACCAGCUGACCAAGAUUGAGAACCUGGAGGCACUUGUAAACCUGGAACAACUUGAUUUGUCUUUCAACCACAUUCGGACAAUUGAAGGUUUGGAGGGUCUCACAAGAGUGACGAAACUGUUUCUGGUGCAGAACAAGAUACAGACGGUUGAGAACAUCGAGCAUCUGGUCAAUGUGGAGAUGCUGGAACUAGGUGCUAACAGAAUCAGGAAAAUACAGGGUAUUGACAAGCUGACCAGACUGAGCAGCCUGUUCCUUGGGAAGAAUAAAAUCACAACAUUGUCCGGGCUUGACACCCUGGUCAACCUCACUUGUCUCAGUAUACAGGACAACCGCCUAGUGACGAUACAGGGGCUGGAGUGUCUAGUCAACCUCGAGGAGCUGUACAUGAGCCACAAUGGCAUUGAGAAGAUCCAGGGACUUGACAAGAAUUUGAGGUUGACAACUCUGGAUCUUGCAGAAAAUAAAAUUAAGAAGAUUGAAAAUAUUGCACAUCUCACAGAACUUCAAGAAUUUUGGUUCAAUGACAACCAGGUGUCUACCUGGGACAAUGUGGAUGCUCUCAUCCCCCUCAAGAACCUGGAGACAGUCUACCUGGAGAGGAACCCUCUCUGGUACGAUCCGUCCGACAACAAGAAGGUGGACGUCAACUACCGAAGAAAGAUCAAACUGGCGUUGCCCUGGAUUAAGCAGAUAGACGCAACUCUUUCUCGAUGAUGAUCUGUAGUAGUUAGCGAAUUCUCUGUCCAGUUCAUCAAGAGUGCUUGGAGUUUGUAAUUAAGUAAAAUUGACAAAAUACAACACUUUUUAAAAAUGUGUUAUAUUACACAAAUAUCUUUGUUAAUGCUAUGAAAUCCCAUACUUUGUAUUAAUGAAUUCAUGUGCUUUUUCAACGUAUUAAGUGCUGAGGUAGAUACUAGAACCUACUUCUUUAACUAGCCUAAGCUUAUGACUAUGUCUUUACAGUAUGAAAAUAAUAACUUAUGGUAUAAAGGAAAUCUCUAUCUUAUAGGACAGGUUUUCAUGAUAUUCAGGAGGAGCGUCUUAUAGAUAGGCACUUGACAGAUCACAUAGAGAAUAUCUACGUGUGUAACUUUGAUAUCUUUUUAUGUUACUAUUAUAGGGUGUAUAUGUGGAGCUCUGUCCAACAUGUUGUCCUGAGCUUCUCUGUAGUAGAUCUCUGUCCAACAUGUUGUCCUGAGGUUCUCUGUAGUAGAUCUCUGUCCAACAUGUUGUCCUGAGGUUCUCUGUAGUAGAUCCAGGGGUAUAUGUGGAGCUUUGUCCAACAUGUUGUCCUGAGGUUCUCUGUAGUAGAUCCAGGGGUAUAUGUGGAGCUGUGUCCAACAUGUUGUCCUGAGGUUCUCUGUAGUAGAUCCAGGGGUAUAUGUGGAGCUGUGUCCAACAUGUUGUCCUGAGCUUCUCUGUAGUAGAUCCAGGGGUAUAUGUAGACUCUGUCCAACAUGUUGUCCUGAGGUUCUCUGUAGUAGAUCCAGGGGUAUAUGUAGACUCUGUCCAACAUGUUGUCCUGAGGUUCUCUGUAGUAGAUCCAGGGGUAUAUGUAGACUCUGUCCAACAUGUUGUCCUGAGCUUCUCUGUAGUAGAUCCAGGGGUAUAUGUGGAGCUGUGUCCAACAUGUUGUCCUGAGGUUCUCUGUAGUAGAUCCAGGGGUAUAUGUAGACUCUGUCCAACAUGUUGUCCUGAGCUUCUCUGUAGUAGAUCCAGGGGUAUAUGUAGACUCUGUCCAACAUGUUGUCCUGAGCUUCUCUGUAGUAGAUCUCUGUCCAACAUGUUGUCCUGAGGUUCUCUGUAGUAGAUCCAGGGGUAUAUGUGGAGCUGUGUCCAACAUGUUGUCCUGAGGUUCUCUGUAGUAGAUCCAGGGGUAUAUGUAGACUCUGUCCAACAUGUUGUCCUGAGCUUCUCUGUAGUAGAUCCAGGGGUAUAUGUAGACUCUGUCCAACAUGUUGUCCUGAGCUUCUCUGUAGUAGAUCUCUGUCCAACAUGUUGUCCUGAGGUUCUCUGUAGUAGAUCCAGGGGUAUAUGUGGAGCUUUGUCCAACAUGUUGUCCUGAGGUUCUCUGUAGUAGAUCUCUGUCCAACAUGUUGUCCUGAGGUUCUGUAGUAGAUCCAGGGGUAUAUGUGGAGCUGUGUCCAACAUGUCCAUAUCCUUUGAUAGUGAAAAGCGUUAUUUGUACCUAUACUGAUUCAUGUCGACACCAUUCCACUGCAGGAAAACAUGGCUAGAUCUCCUAGGGACAGUUAAUAAUUGUUUGUUAUGUUUUUAGUUUGUUAGUAACUAAACCUUGUCUGACAUUUUGUUUUCGCCCUACUCAGCCUAUGAAAUAUUGAAGGAUAAAAAGCAACAGAGCUGAUAGAUUACUGUAGCUUUGUGUAGACUUUGGAAUAUCAAAUACUGAAGCAAUGUCAUUUUUACUAAAGCCUUUUAUCAACUACAGUUGUUGUUGGUUUGUUAAAUUACCAAAGUUUACAACUGGAUGUCUUACAUUUGCAACAAUAACUUGUGACAAUGUUAAAGCACCUGAUCGGGUGUGCACUGAUUCACUGCUAUUUGUAAUUGCCACAACUGAGGUCAACUGUACUGCAUAUCAUCUUCCUGAGGCAAGGGAAUUAAUUGACUAUAAAAGUCCGGUUUCCAACCUUGCCGAACUAGGCUGGUUUAUAGAGUUAUACUUUGGCUGGACUAACAAGGCUAUGCGUAGUCCAAUCAA
rnacentral:misc_RNA from 1 species